ACCACCCUCUGAAAUGAAUUCCAUAAUCGUAUGAAUAAAGUAAAAUUAGAUUUUUGAGUCAAAAACGAAUUUAAAAUACUUAAGCUAAAAAUUCAAAGUAUAAGAAAAAUUUAAAAAAUGGUCAAAUUAAUGUCAUGUUUAUUUAUUUCGAUCCAUAACUGAAACUUUUGUAUCAAGUCAUUCAGGAGAAAGGAUUGCUGAAAUCAUACGAUUGGGUCACAAUUUGGUUGAACAAAGAAAGGAGUUUUGUAAAUUUACUUAUGAAAAAUUCAAAAAACCAUUAAGAUGAGAUGAAAUGUCCGAUUGGAACAAAAAAGCGUAUUGGCUUCAAUAAAAUUUGGGAAGUUAAACUAAAUUAUUUGUUUCGUGGUGUUGGCUAUAUUUUUUGACAACCAAUUUCUAUCAAAAGUACAAAUUGAUGUCUUCUCAAGUUUGUAUUUCUUAUAGUUAUUGGUUUUCAAAACUUAAGGCAAUAAUAUUUAACUUUAUGUUUUGUACCAAUAAAAGAUAUGUAUGAAAACUUUUGUCUUAUUAAAAAAACUCAUAAGCUGAACCUUUCAUAUUUUCAACAAACAAAGUGAAAGUAACAAUUUAUCUCUCAAGAUUGAUAUCCAUUCCCUAAAGUAUAUAAAAAUAAAUAAAUUAAAUCAACUUUUCCUUCUAAGCUUGACGCAUGAAAAAUGACCAUAAAAUAAAAAUGCGUUUGGAUCACGUAAAACGUGAUCGUAAACUGCGUGCGUGAUAACAUUAAACGUCAAACUUGAUGUCAACUCAAAACUAAACCUCUACUUUGGCCGCAUGCCAGCAUUCAGCUGAUAUUCUGGAAACAUGAAAAUAACUAUACACUCUCAAGUUUUGAUUACAAAAUUAUUCAUCAACAAAACAAAAAAAAAUUGGCAAGAUCAAGUUUCACUUAGCCGCACUUAGGCUAUCAAUUAGUUCGAAUUUGGCACACCACUGGCUAUAGUGAUGGUAUUCCCAGCAGGUCUCAUUACCACCAAUGCGAUCGAUACACAGAAGUAAGCGAAACAAAAAUUGGAUCACAUAAAAAUGACUACGACGACGACGACCGAAAGUCGCAUGGCGAAUUUUCAAAUCAAGUUUUUAUAAACAACCAUUUGGCAAGCCCGGACGGGUUCGGCCGGUGGCGGUGACGAUGACGGUGACGGGCGAGCGGUGGCGGUAUAUUCUUUUUCGAUCUCAGGAACCAGUUCCACCCAGCAUACAGCUCCGAUCCAGCUUCAAGACCUCGAAUCCGAACCAAAACGAUCGACUGUGUGACUCUUUUGCGGUUAUAUUUGAGGUCUACUACCGCACCCGUCUCCCGCCCAGCAGUUUCAUAAAGUUGAUCGCCCUCCGCAUAUGCUCGUCCAGAGCUCUCUCUUUCUUUUCGGUUUUCUGAUUUUAUUUAUGGAAAUGCCCAAUAAAAACCCUCGCCGUAGUAAUAAUAAUAAUAAUCAAUUUCUGUGAUGAUUCAAUAUAAGUUUUUUUUUUUGUUUGUCGUAUGAUGUUGCUUGUUGGGAGGUGCUGGAAGCUCCACAAGAUUUGAAACUGAUUAUUAUAAAUGUUUAUGCGGAUGAUGAUAUGGGACCAAGAUGAACGAACAAGAACAAGGAACGAAACUAGAGGGACCAGUUCGAGAAUGUAGCACGGCGCAUGGUACGGCCGGCGACUAGCGGGGUAUUUUCGCCGUGCCUUGUCGUGCCUUCGCUGUGUGAUGGUGGUUCCAGUUGAAUAACUUAUUUAUAUAAAUAAAGUUAAUGAUUUAAGGAAUGACAUUAGAGUGUCAAGAAAAUGAGGUGCCGUUAAAUAAUAAUGUGGUCGCUGAUUAAAGCGCAUUUUUUCAUUAAUUGAAUCAGCUGUUAUUUUGUGUUAUGCAAAUAACGAGUUAACAAUAAACAAAUUUGUGG